AAGCAUCAAAACUCAUUCUCUCUUCUCCAGUCUCUCCUAGUUCACUCUCAUCUUCUCAGUGUCCUGAAUUGCUCUAUGUCUCCAUGUCCUCUCACACCGACCUGUUAAGACACCUGAGCGUUCAGAAUGUGCGUAGCGUCUUUGGACAAGGACUAGCUGUCUGGUCCAGCCUGGAGGAAGAGGAUGAGGGGGAGGGGGGUCGAGUAAAACAUAGAGAGCCACCAGGCAGAUGUUUGGAAUAUGUGGUGCCCAAUGGCAUCAUAGAAGAAGGCAGGGCAAUGAUGGAGGAAGGGCACAGAUAUCUAGAGCCUAUUUAAAGGGCUUGCAGACACUGAGACUGGCCAUUAGAUGUGUUUCUAAAGGCAACCAGCUCUUCCACACAUCUGUCUGUCUGUUUGGUCGCCUGUUCUUCUCUGUGUGUCCGUCUGUCUGUCUCGUCUGCUGCCAUGUUGGGACAGAGACUCCUGCAGACUUCAGUGGUGCUGUGGCUGGCACAGGUCACUUUACAAGGAGGUGUCAGACCCCAAACUGGAGCUCUAGGGAGAUUGGUGCCAAGUCGAGGUGCUAGUCUUGGUGCUGUUGGUCUGGGUGCCAAGCCAGGAGUAGGUGCUGGUAUUCUCGGAAGCCGUGGCUAUGGAGGCAAAGCUGCAAAGGCAGGCACUGGCCGUUACCUUGGAGCGGGAGGAUACAGGCCGUUACAAAGUAGAGGAGGAAUGAAGCAAGGCUACGGAGGAGCUCUCGGAGGUUAUGGUGCUGCUCUUGGAGCAGGACUUGGGAACGGUCUGGGAAUGGCUCUGGGAGCUCAGGCAGGAAAACUUGGACGAGGAUACACUAAUGGCUAUGGACUCCAGCCAGGUUACGGCGCUGGUGUAUACCCUGGCGUUGGACGCGGCAGUGGGCUUGGAGGAGGACUACCCAUUUCACAGGGGGGGAAAGGCAAUGGAUAUGGUCAAACUCCAGGAGUACCAAAUGGACAAGGUGCUCCAGUCAACGGUUACGCCCCCUCACCUCUGGGUCCCACUGCACAGGGAGGGUAUGGCUCUGGAGCUGGAGUAAUGAAUGGAAAGGGAGCUAAAGCUAAUGGCUACGGCCCGGCCGCAGGAGUGUCUAAUGGAGCCGGAGGAAUGAGCAACGGCUAUGGACCUGGGCCAGCAGGAGUAAACGGACAAGGUGGUAAAGGAGGAGCCAUGUUCCGUGGAAAUGGUGGCAAACCGUCCAAGACUGGAUAUAAUCUUGGAUUGGGCAGCUAUCCCGGAGCAGGACUAACUAAUGGAUAUGGAGCAGGCUAUGGCAAUGUGUAUGGCUUUAAUGGAUAUGAUGGUGGCUAUGGAGCUGAGCUUGGCUAUCCGGCAGCGCUUGGCGAUGCCACUGGGCUUGGAAGCAAGGCUGGUCUGGGAGCUGGAGGCUUUGCAUCUCCAACACUGGGACUCAGCGCUGGCCUGGGAACUGGUCUCGGCACAGACGCCAAGUCUGCUAAGUAUGGUGGCGCCACUCCUGGUUCUGUGCUCGGUGCUGCUGGAGGUCAGCCAGUUGUGUCUGCGGGACUCGGCCCUCAAGGCAAAACAGGUGGCUAUGGAGGCGCUCCUUACGUGGGACAGACAGCAGGCCUGGUACCUGACGCUUCUCUGGGUGGAACUGGUGGAGUCCUGGAACCUGUGACUGGUGGAGGUGUGGGUCAGUAUCCUUACAAUGGAGCAGGAGUUGUCCCAGCCGGACUGGAAGGUGAAAAUGGAUAUGGAUACGGACCUCAGCAGCUCAGUAUGGGAACUGAUGGAGGCAAAUUAGCAUAUGGGGAGGGAGGAGCCUAUGCAGCACAGCCAGCAGGCUAUGGUGCAGCCAUGGGGGCCGGAGGUCAGGGUCCUUACGGAGGAGGAAAGGACGAGAGCAAGUACAACCUGGGUGGUCUCUACGGAAACAGAAUCAAAGGCUGAUGUCUCAUGUGACUUGAGCGUGAAUUUGGCUUCGUCCCCAUCCGUGUGUCCCCACAUCCUCCAUCACUGUUUAGUUUAAUGUGCCAGUGUGUGUCAUCCGCCUGCUGUGUUUUAGCUGUAAUUUAGUCCUUGUCAUCCUUGUCCUUGUUUGUUCAUGUGUGUAUGUGUGUGUGUGACUAUGUGUUUGUAUGUUUGUGUGUGUGUGAGAGUGUGUGUGUUCUUAUUGUAAUGAUGGUCCUAGAUUGUGUCGUUUGUGUUUCCUCCCUCCUUCUUCGCUGUUUUUGGGAGCGUGUCCGACUCCUGUUGUUGGUCCCUGUAUCCAACUAAAACCUUUUGCGCACUACUUUUGGUUGUUACUGUAAUUCUUAUCAAGACUAAACAUGUCCCCUCACUUCUGUGACUAAUUGUGUUGUUUCCACAAACAUGUGAAGAUUGACAAAAGUGAUAUAUAUGAACAUAUUGACAACUUGUAAAUGGAUAUAGAGAA
rnacentral:lncRNA from 1 species